rnacentral:misc_RNA from 1 species
AAUGCGUGGCCCCUCUUGCUGAAGUCCCUUUAUCUGCUAUGCAAAAUGCAUUCGACACUAAUCUUUAUGGUCCCAUGAGGCUUAUUCAAGCAGCUGUUCCUCACAUGGAAAGCAGGAAAAAGGGAAAAAUUGUAAAUGUUGGAAGUGUUGCUGUCAUGGCUCCUAGCCCUUGGGCUGGUGUGUACACUGCAACCAAAGCUGCUCUUCAUUCACUCUCAGACACCUUGAGGUUGGAGCUCAAGCCUUUCGAGAUUGAU